CCUACGGGUGGCAGCAGUGGGGGAUAUUGCACAAUGGGCGGAACCCUGAUGCAGCGACGCCGCGUGGGUGAAGAAGCGCCUCGGCGCGUAAAGCCCUGUCAGCAGGGAAGAAAAUGACGGUACCUGAAGAAGAAGCCCCGGCUAACUACGUGCCAGCAGCCGCGGUAAUACGUAGGGGGCAAGCGUUAUACGGAUUUACUGGGUGGAAAGGGGGCGGAGACGGCGUUGCAAGCGAGGAGUGAAAGCCCGGGGCCCAACCCCGGGCCUGCACUUGGAACUGCGAGGCUGGAGUGCAGGAGGGGCAGGCGGAAUUCCUGGUGUAGCGGUGAAAUGCGUAGAUAUCAGGAGGAACACCGGUGGCGAAGGCGGCCUGCUGGACUGCAACUGACGUUGAGGCCCGAAAGCGUGGGGAGCAAACAGGAUUAGAUACCCCUGUAGUC
rnacentral:rRNA from 1 species